rnacentral:rRNA from 1 species
AUUCCUACGGGAGGCAGCAGCCGCGGUAAUAUUGGGCAAUGGGCGCAAGCCUGACCCAGCAACGCCGCGUGAGGGAAGAAGGUCUUCGGAUUGUAAACCUCUGUCCUUGGGGACGAAAAAAUGACGGUACCCAAGGAGGAAGCUCCGGCUAACUACGUGCCAGCAGCCGCGGUAAUAAU